rnacentral:rRNA from 1 species
CAGUCGCCGCGGUAAUGCGUAGGGUGCGAGCGUUAAUCGGAAUUACUGGGCGUAAAGCGUGCGCAGGCGGUUGUGUAAGACAGGUGUGAAAUCCCCGGGCUUAACCUGGGAACUGCGCUUGUGACUGCACAGCUAGAGUAUGGCAGAGGGGGGUGGAAUUCCACGUGUAGCAGUGAAAUGCGUAGAGAUGUGGAGGAACACCGAUGGCGAAGGCAGCCCCCUGGGCCAAUACUGACGCUCAUGCACGAAAGCGUGGGGAGCAAACAGGAUUAGAUACCCCUGUAGUCCCUGUCUCUUAUAC